AGUAUCACACAUUCUUCUCAUCUUCUUUUCCAUAUAGGUCUCGCCUAUUCUACUCUAACAAGUCCUCUAUUAUGUUCUUUCUUUUUUAUCUUUUAUGUUACUAUUUUCUCUUCCAAUUACGUUUUUAUUGCACUUUUCUUCUCAAUCUCGCAUCUCUUAUGUUCUUUUUUUCAUCUUCUCUAAUCUCUCAUCUCAUAUGUUUUUUAUGUUUUAUUAUAAUGUCUUUGAUAUUAUUUUAUGCUACUAUUUAUAUUUGUCUUUUAUUCCACUU
rnacentral:lncRNA from 1 species